rnacentral:lncRNA from 1 species
UUUUGUUUACUUGGUCCUGUCGUCUGUGAUGGUUUCUGUUUUAAAAUUUUUUUAUUCUUAUCUGUUUCUAGGAAUAUGGAACCAAAUAGUUAGGGAUUUGAAAUGUGUUUGUGAAUUUGAAUAAAAGUGUUGGGAUUGAAAGAAUGAGUCGCGAAAACCGCAAGGAUAAACCGACUGCCAGAUUUUGUUUGCAAACCAGCAGUUUUCCAUUGCACAUUGAAACCAUCGAAAAGGUUAUGCUUGUGAAAUUCUGGCAUUUAGAAAGAAACCACGAUAACAUAGCCUACAAUUUAUAUGUGGCAAUAAAUUCCAUCUGAUCAUGUGGCCUGAAACUGCUGUACAUUUUCCAAAAAUUUCGUCUCUUGCUGCACGUACCGUCUGUACGCGUUUCGUCACCUGCAGAUAUACUUCAGAACAGUAAAAGUGAUUAUGUUGGUCAACUUUUGAACCCUAAGAUUACACAUUUAGCAUGGUGAAGUCUGAACUUUUUAAUUGCAGUGCAAUGUGCACAUGGAUUUGUUGCAGCCAGCUGGCGAAAGGUGUUCCUCUUGCAGGCUUGCUACCUGUACCAGUUGUAGCUUUCGUCACAUGCAG